rnacentral:tRNA from 1 species
CAAAACGUAGCUUAAUACAAAGCAUCUUGCUUACACCAAGAAAACAUCUGUUAAACCCAGGUCGUCUUGA